AUCUCUUGGAGCUAGAGUCACAGGUGGUUGUGUGCACCUUGCAUGGGUGCUAAGACCAAACAGGUUCUUUGAAAAGUGGCAAGUGCCCUUAACCCCUGAACCACUCCAGCCCCCACCCCCUUUAAGCAACAUCCCGUUUGGAUUUGUUUCUGUGGGAAAACAAGAGACAAGCUCCAUAUAGGUGAUUUGCAAGCCUCCAGAGCAGUCUCUUGUCAGACAGGAAGCUUUCUCUCUACAUAGCAAGACAGCACGUCUUCAAGGGGGAUGCAGAGGUUUCCAGGAUAGCUCAUCAAACUGGAUCCUGGUGACAACAUUCUUGGAAAGCAAGGAGCUGGAAGCAUUAUGUCAUGAGGAGAAAGCCCGGGCCACCUGGUGAGCCUGUAUGGUACUCGCCUCCCUCCAUUCAGGGUUCUUGGAUUCUUUCCAGUAGCUGCACCAGCUCCCCAGGGCUGUAUCUACCUUGAAGUGCACUACCACAAUCAAUACAGUGCAAUAUCAAGAAGUUGCAUGACUAUGGUAAUGAGAAUGACCUUGGAUCCUGCAGCUGAUCAUCUCAAAUCCGGCAAAGAUUGUUCUUCAGUUCCUUUCAUCGCAAGUGUAGCCUCAGGCCCAUGCUUUGGCGUACCUUCUACCUUGUACCUCUCCUGAAUUCAUCAGGUGUUCUGCUGUGAUGGGAGCAAUGCACCAUGGGAAAUGCAGUCACACCCUUAGCUUCAGAGGAAAAAAACGAUCAGAGGCAGCCUGAGUUACAGAGGUCCUCAGGUCUCAUUGGGACCCACUUGCCCUGGACAAACCAAACUGAUCAGAGUCACCACCAGGCCCAGCGACUUCAUUCCCAUGGCAGCUAUGUGCUUUGGGGAUCCAUGGCAUCUAUAAUCUAGCAUCUUGGCUGUGCCUUCUGUCCUGAAGGUCUAUCUGCUCAUCUGUCUCUGAGUGCUUCGGCAGUUGCUCCAUGUGGGCUUCUGUUCAAAUCUGCUUUCUCUGCAGGGGUGGUCUGAAUAGGAAUGGCCCCCAUAGACUCACAAUACUUGCCCUAGGGAGUGGCACUAUGAGGAGGUGUGGCCUGGUUGGAGAAAGUGUGUCACUGCAGGGGCGGGCUUUGAGGUCUCAUGUGCUCAAGCUAUGCCCACUGUGGCUCACAGUCUCCUUUUGUCGCCUACCGAUCAAGAUGUAGAACUCGCAACUCUUUCUCCAGCACCAUGUCUGCCUGCACGCUUCCCUCCAUGGACUAAACCUCUGAAACUGUAAGCCAGCCCCAAUCAAGUGUUCUCAUUUUUAAGAUUUGUCGUGGUCACAGUGUCUCU
rnacentral:lncRNA from 1 species